GGUUGGAUAAACGCAUGUUGUUCAGCAGAGGCUGUUAACCUUUAAAGCGCUGAUACGUUUUGGUUUAUUUCAAUAUUUUUAACCCGAAUUGCUGUCUUUUUAAGAAGUCUGUGAAAUCGUCUCCCUUGACAGGGCAAGCGUAACGUGCCUUAAAUCUCCAUCUCGUGGAAGAUCUGCUUGGCUGGCAGUUGAUAUGUGUUGCUGUUGGCUUUUAAGGAACAUCUCUGUGGUUUUGGGUUUUUUGUUUGUUUGUUUGUUUGGCUUUGAUUUAUUAUUUUUUCCUUUUUAUCUUUGUUUUAUUUGAUUUUUUUUUUUAAAUUUUUUUUACAUUUGAUUUUGCAAAGAGGUUUGGCAAACACCAGAGCCAUCAAGGCCAGGGCAGGCCCUCCACCCUUCUUCUUCCACUGAUGCUGUUGACCUGGGUUCCUUGGGUGCUCUGCAAUCUACCAAGUCACAAAACCUGCAAAAUUAUCUACUGCUUCUCAUCACAGCGUCUCCCAUCCAUGGGAUGGUCCUUCCAGUCCUGUCUGUGCAGUGUCCUGCUUCUGACAGUGAGGAAUCACUUGAUGGAUUUAGGAAGAGGUGUCCUGACUGGGUAAUAGCUACCUGACCUCCAGCAGAAGGAAGAAGGUGUUUCCUCUGCCACUGGAGAACUUCUGUGCACGUCCCUGUGCAAGUGGAAGACGAAAGCUUUACCUGACACCACAUGAAUUAAGUUGAAUGUGUUAGCCAAAGGCUCAGUCCAUUCCACAACAAAACUGAAGAAAAGUCGAUCUAUAUGGAAUGGAGCCCAGCAGAUAGCAAAAACUAUCACGAGGACAACUGGCAUGGAGAAAGGGGAGAAGAAAAACAGUCCCUGCUGCAAAGGUGUAAAUCUCUGAGAGGCUGGAACCAAUCCACAGACUUUGGUGUUUCAGUGACAUUCGGAUGUGAGCAGCAGUGAUGAUUCUGUUGUUUCAGUGGUUUCUACCCUUAUGCAGUUUGAAGAUACUGAAGGCUGGAGGAGGGAGCUGCACUAUAACAAUAGCUGGAUCUGCAGAAGCCUUUCCAUGCCUGACUGUAAAUCAUUUUACAAUUAUCUAAGCUCUUCAUAGACAGCUUUUCCAUGGCUGUGCAUGAUAUCUGAAAUCCCCAGGAUAUCAAUCAACACACAUAAGAAGUGGAUUUCCUGACUAAAAUACAAUUACCAAGAAGGGCACCUCUUUGCCUGGAGCAGCUGGCAACCUACACAGACAGUACAGACCACAGACCACUUCAAGAGUGGAACCCAUUUUGACUAACUUUAGUAAUUAAAAACAGCAAACAAGUCUUCACAGAUUUUUCAGGCUCCUACUUUAGUCAAUAAUGGAAAGAGGAACCUUCAGCAAGGGAUUUGUUCAAAACCAUAGCACAAGGUAAGAUAUAUGAAAUGGAGUAGCUUAAUUUUUUGUGCUGUCUGCAGUGGGAAAGUCUGUAAUAAGAUUUAAUACCAAGCUUGUUAAAAGGCUGAGAUUAAUUUAGACCACAGUUUUGUACAAUCUUCUCCAUCCCCUUCCCAUCAGUUUUUAGUGGGAGCCAUGUACAGGUUUCAUCUUUGAGAAGCUCUUGGGACAGCUGAAAAUAGGGCCAGAGGUAGCAGGUGAAGAGUGAGGACAGUCCAGUGCUAAAAGUCACACUCCUCUCUUACCUAUUCAGGUGGUCCCUAUCUUUCAGCAAUGGAUUGCUUUGCUAGUAUUGAUACCAGAAGUUACUGGGAAUUAUGUCUUUCAUUUUUAGUAAGCCUUUCAUGUGUUGUUUGUGUGUGUGUGUGCUCGUGCUUUGAAGAGGCAGUGGGUGUCAGGUAGGGAUGUGGUUAAGGCUUGACAUGUAGGGGAGCAGCAAAAAGAGCUGAAAAACAACUCUGAUACAGAAAAUCUUGUCAUACUGAAUGUGCCCAUCGUGACAAAGUGACUUGGAUUUACAUGGGGGAAGAUAAAAGGAUUGUCAUGAGAGAAAAUGUGUGAAGUCACAAGCACGGCACGGAAUGAGUCAGAUCAUCUGAGUCAGGAGGGAUCUGGUACUACAGGACUCAGGUCUGCGUAGGAAGAAUCAGAUUAUUCAGCAUCUCUCUAUGGCUUUCUGCAUCUUAUUACAGUAUUGAUACUCCACUGCAGUCUCUUCCUCUCUCAGUGCUGUAUUUGUUUCUUGGGAGAGCUCAACUCACUUUGGUUGUGUGACCCAAAAGAGACUUAGCAGUUUCCCUGACAUAUGAGUGUUAUUUGCAGCUCACAUCCACACUUGGGAUUCCAGCAAGGAUUUUUCUCCAGUGAUAAAAAGCCAUCCAUAUCAUAGAGUCUGCAUUGUGCCUGCAUGUGUAUUAGACUUGUACACUGGCGAGACAGAAGGAGUCACACUGACAAGUCUCAGCAUAUUCAAAGAAAGGCAGUGAUGCAUUGUAUUACUGGAGGUGGUAGAAAGUCAGGAAUUUGUUAUGGGACAACUGAAUCAAUCAAGGAAGGUGAUAAAUGAGACACAUAGAGUUCGUAUAGCACAUGUUGUAUAUAAAUCUAACAGUAAGAGAGAUGUUAAGAGAAUCCCUUUUCUGAACAUUUUUUAUUUUAAGAGUUGGUGUGGAGGUAGCUUCGGUAUUAGAAAGAUAAAGUUUAUGUGAAAUUUUUUGCUCAUAUUGGAAUACUAUAUACACUUUUUAUUUCCCUCAAAAACAUAGUGAUGUGUUAGUUUAUACUUUAUGAAACAUUUUAUUCAGAGAUACUUACAUAAUAGUAAUAAUAAUAGUAUCAAAAUUUAAGAAACUGGAAAUUAGACAGCAUUUUUUUCCUUUUCUUUUAAUUUCAGAAAAGGCUUGCUUAAAUUACCUAUGCAUGUUUAAACUUCUUAUCUCAAGUAAAAGUAUCAUUCUACUGACACUUUGGCAAAAACACUUGUCAAGUUUCCAUUUCUUUCUGCCUCAGCUGUUCUUCACGUUGCUUUUUAAGUUGUAUUACAAUGAUCACUUGUCUUUGUGUCACAUUGAGAAUCAAUAUUAUUUGACUUGGAACUGAAGAAACCAUCUUUAUGAAGAAGGAUGUGCAUUAAUUUAGAACAUUAAUAUGCUGACAGAUGAUGUUCUCUUCCUGCUCUUUUCCCCAUUAGACUAUCCCCAGGAGUCAUAUCUUGGUUUAGUUAAAUGCAGUGAGGGAUGGUAAUGUUCUUCUGAAUCUCUCCUGCUACAACGUUAGAGAGAAAGAAAACUCCAGACACAACAGUGAUGCAAAAGAUACGAGCCAGAGAGAUAAUUUACCAUGGUUUUCAAAUAACCUAAUAGGCCUUAGACAUGGAAAGCAAACUGGAUCAACUUAUUAAAAAGCUUUUUUUCAAAUUGUGGUGUACACUACAAAAUGUUUUUCUGCUUUGCAACCCACUCAGUAGUGAGACGACCCAAGACAGAACUGCAAAAUAAGGUAAAAUAUCCCAUCUAUGCCUUCGAGAGCUGAGGAGCAGAACAAGGAGCAGUUGCAAUGCAAUGAGAACAGCUCUCCUGUACGGGAUUGGGGGUGGGGUUUGGUGUCCUGAGCACUCCUAUGAGCUGGCGAUUUGGGACUCAGUGGCUUUAUUAGGCCAGUUUUUCUCCACGAGGAUUUAGAUCAGUCCAGCAGUUUGAGAUUGGAGGCUUAUUCCCCGCACUGAAACUGAAGAUGAGGCUCAGGAGCUUCCCAUACAGGCCCCUGCAAACAGACAAGGGGAUGAAGGCUGUGCCUUCUUCAUUUCAGAAGAAAAAGAAUGCUAUUUGGACACUUGUGAUGGGGCAAAUGAUCAGACAAGGUGGGAAUGGCUUCAAACUGAAAGAGAGUAGGUUUAGAUUAGGUAUUAGGAAGAAAUUCUUUACUCUGAGGAUGGUGAGACAUUGGCACAGGUUGCCCAGAGAAGCUGUGGCUGCCCCAUCCCUUGAAGUGUUCAAGGCCAGGACGGACAGGGCUUGGAGCAACCUGGGCUAGUGGAAGGUGUCCUGUCCAUUGGCAGGGAGGUUGGAAGUAUGUGAUCUUUGAGAUCCCUUCCAACCCAAAUCAUUCUAUGAUUCUAUGAUUUUCUUAUACCAGGAGCACUGAGGCCACAGCUGCUGCAGUGCAUCUCUCUCGAGGCUUCCCCAGUGCUCAUUUAAGUGCAGCUGUACAAAUUUGCCUUGGUCCACCUCUAUUUACUGGGAGACCAGUUCAGCAUCCAGACUGACAGAUAUUUUGCUUACCCAAGACACCUUCGUUAUCUGCAAUUUUGCAAACUCUGAUCCACAAUUAGGUCUGAGCUGACCCUGAACUCUAUCGAUCUGCUCUGAUUGUCCUAAAUGCUAAACACAUCUUGUAUUGACGAACAUCCAAAUGUAUUCUGCAGCACCUUUAAUAAAGGAAAUUUCUGCAUCAAACAGAAAUGACUCAAAUCUGAGUCAAGUGUUGUUGUCUCAACACAGGAAGUUGCAUUUAAAUAAGUAAUAACAUAAACUCUGAAAUGGUAUCAGGAAUAGACUAGGUAAGGAAAAUAGAACCAAAUAGUCUGAUGUUUUAUUUUUCAAUUCUAUUUAAAAGAUGAGUGGCUAAAGAUUAAUGUUGCUUGAAACAAGAAAAGUUUAAUUAUGGCUGACAGGACAAAGGAGGGAAAUAAAAUGGAGGAGGAGACCUAACAACCUUGAAACAAUAACUUGGUAGGAAGAUAAGCAAAGGAGUACUGGGGAUUGGAAGUGAAAAAGGACAAGAUGGACUUUAGACAUGCAAAUGAAUAGAACACACCAGAUGAAAAACAUGCAUAAAGGUAAAAAGAGGAAAGCAGGAAGGCAAGAAAGAAAGAAAGAA